GGAACUGUGGUUUAAAGGGGAAAACAGUAUGGAAAGGAGCUUUGCUGAAAGCUCAUGCAGCAACUUUACGUCAAGGCAUAUUAAUGCAGGUUCGAAUCCUGCCAGUUCCA
rnacentral:tRNA from 1 species